CCGUGAAACUGAAGAACGGUAAUUAUGAAUGUCGCAUGUACGGACAGGAGUUACUCAAAGCAUUUAGAUAAUCCCGGAGAUUUGAUAAGGGAAACAAAACACUGAGUAAAAACUUUCAUUCUUCCUUAUCUGUUCCCGUUUCGUCGUCAUUUUUUAACUCGUCGAAAUAAACGGGGAAUAAGAUGAGUAUGACGAGAAGAACUCGACUAGAACUCAAGCAGACGUUUGGGCCGGAAGUACAGCUCGUGUUCUGGACAUUAACCUUAACCAUGAUGUCCAAAAUGUUGACCGCAGAUAAC